AAGUCGUAACAAGGUUUCCGUAGGUGAACCUGCGGAAGGAUCAUUAUUGAAUGCAACGGUCAAGGUUGUUGCUGGUUCCAUUGAGUUCAUGUGCACACCUUACUAUUGUCUUAUUUCCACCUGUGCAUUUCUUGUAACCGCAUCCAAUUUUAAGUUUUGGGUUAUGCUUGAAAAAGAGCAUGCUAGAGUCUGAGUAUAUAUGUUUAUGCCCUUACUUUGCCAAAAUUUAUGUUGGUUUUGGUUAUGUUUUAUUUUCACUGUUUUUAUAUGUAUUGAAAGUCAUUAGGGGUUUUUGAAAAACCUUUAAUCUUUAACACAACUAUUGGCAACGGAUCUCUUGGCUCAC
rnacentral:misc_RNA from 1 species